GGAGGGACUGAGCUCUCCUUGGGAUACACCUGAAGAUGUUGGAGCAGAUAAGUCUGGGUUCUUUUGAGAACUAAGUUAGAUGACCUCCAUGAUUUGGCCACCGUUCUGGUUGAAGAUGGAUUGACUUUAAUGUGACCGCAGUUCAUGAAGACUCCACUUUGAGGGAGGAUCUGCUCAAAAAGGUUGUGCUGCUUUAACCUCUGGAUAAAGACCUGCAGGCCAUCAUGAAAGACCAUUGCAAUGAGCCUCUGACUGAACCAGCUCAACACCUGCACUGGUGGAAAUCUAUCCACCUGCUGUCACCGCUAAAACCGUUUUAUAGAUCCCUUUUGUUCACUACAGGUUUUAUCCUGGCAACUUUAAUAGUAUCUGGAUGCAGCUUUUAUGAUGCAAGCUGAGACUGCAGCACUCUGCGAUACAAUGUCAGACUCGAUACACUCAAUGGAGUGAGGGACUUCACUGUGACUGGUAGGGUUAGGGGUGGGGUUAGGUGAUCGCAUUAAAGCAUUUUAUGCAGCUCCGAUUGCACUGCAUAGAGUCUGCAGCCAGACCCCUCAACUCUAUCCACAAGGGUUUUGUUUUGGCAGUGCAACUUUCCUUAAGUUGCUGUUUUUAAUAAGGCAGUGUAAGGCUUCUCUCCAGUGUGAACCCUUAUGUUUGUUCAUUCCUCCAAGAGGUUCUCAGAGUAUGGGUUCAUGUUGGUGCCUUUUUUUUUUUUUUUAAUAUACACACACAAGUCUUUACUGUCCAGCAAUUCACAAUUUACCUCUGAAUUUCACAUGUGUUCACAGAAUAAAGAUCACUUUUUUUUUUCUUUUUUUAAAUGGUAUUUGUAGCACAUUCAGUUUUUUUCUUGUCAUUUUAAAUGAAUAAAUGUCCCUGGUUUCUUGAUGC
rnacentral:lncRNA from 1 species